rnacentral:rRNA from 1 species
CCAAGGAGUCUAACACGUGCGCGAGUCGUAGGGUUUCCCUCGAAGCCCGGAGGCGCAAUGAAAGUGAACCGUAGGCGGGAUCCCCGUUCACUCCCACGGGAGCCGGGGCGCACCGCCGGCCCGUCUCGUUCGGUCGGCGCGUCUACCCUCGGGUGGCGUGUCGGCGGAGGCGGAGCGAGAGCGUACACGUUAGGACCCGAAAGACGGUGAACUAUUCCCGGACAGGACGAAGCCGGAGGAAACUCCGGUGGAGGUCCGCAGCGAUUCUGACGUGCAAAUCGAUCGUCGGAUCCGGGUAUAGGGGCGAAAGACUAAUCGAACCGUCUA